AAUUCCUGUUGAUCCUGCAGGAGGUUGCUGCUAUUGGGGUUCGACUAAGCCAUGCAAGUCUUCUCGCAAGAGAGGCAAACUGCUCAGUAACACGUCGAUAAUCUAACCUUAGAUUGGGGAUAACCUCGGGAAACUGAGGCUAAUACCCUAUAGAGGAAUUCAACUGGAAGGUGUUUUCCUUUAAACGCAAGGUCUAAGGAUGAGUUGGCGGCGGAUUAGGUAGUUGGCGAGGUAAAGGCUCACCAAGCCAAAGAUCCGUAGGGGCCCUGAGAGGGGGAGCCCCGAGAAGGGCACUGAGAUACUGGCCCUAGCCCUACGGGGUGCAGCAGGCGCGAAAACUUUACAAUACACGCAAGUGUGAUAAGGGAACCCCAAGUGCCAAUACUUUGUAUUGGCUUUUGCCAAGAGCAAAUAUCUUGGAGAAUAAGUGGUGGGCAAUACCUGUGCCAGCCGCCGCGGUAACCCAGGAGCCACAAGUGGCAACCGCUUUUAUUGGGCCUAAAGCGUCCGUAGCCGGUUUUGUAAAUCUUCUGUGAAAUUGUUGCGCUUAACGUAACAGCGAGCAGAAGACACUGCAAAGCUUGGGACCGGGAGGGGUUAGAGGUAUUUCAGGGGGAGCGGUAAAAUAUCCUCACUAGUGUUGCAAGAAACGCUAGGAGGUUUUACAGUGCUAUAAUCCCUGAAGGACCACCUGUGGCAAAGGCGUCUAACCAGAACGGAUCCGACGGUGAGGGACGAAAGCUAGGGGAGCAAUCCGGAUUAGAUACGAGAAAUCAUGUCUGAUUUCUGGAGUUAGCUCGUAAAUUGCUCAACAAGACUAUUACGUGCAAACAAAAGAAGUCGCUAUAUGAUGGUUUACUCGCUAACUACCCGAGUAGUCCUAGCUGUAAACUCUGCGAGCUAGGUGUUGCAUAAUCUUAGGGAUUAUGCAGUGUCGUAGUGAAGAUGUUAAGCUCGCCGCCUGGGGAGUACGGUCGCAAGGCUGAAACUUAAAGGAAUUGGCGGGGGAGCACUACAAGGGGUGCGGCGUGCGGUUUAAUCCAAUUCAACACGGAGAAUCUCACCAGGAGCGACGGCAGGAUGAAGGACAGUCUAAAGGGCUUUCCUGACGAGCCGAGAGGUAGUGCAUGGCCGUCGUCAGCUCGUGCCGUAAGGUGUCCUGUUAAGUCAGGCAACGAGCGAGACCUGUACUUACAAUUGCUAACGGGUCCAGCAAUGGAUGACUGAGCACAUUGUAAGGACUGCCUUCGAAAGGAGGAGGAAGGUGCAGGCAACGGUAGGUCUGUACGCUCCGAAUCUUCUGGGCUACACGCGCGCAACAAUGGUAGGGACAAUGGGAUGCAACACCGAAAGGUGAAGCCAAUCCUCGAAACCCUAUCUUAGUUCAGAUUGUGGAUUGUAACUCAUCCACAUGACGUCGGAAUCCCUAGUAAUCAGACUUUAUCAGAGUCCGGUGAAUACGUCCCUGCUCCUUGCACACACCGCCCGUCAAACCACCCGAGCAGGGUUUAGAUGAGGCUUAAUUUUCAAUUAAGUCAAAUCUAAGCUCAGCGAGGAGGGUUAAGUCGUCACAAGGUAACCGUAGGGGAACCUGCGGUUGGAUCACCUCCUU
rnacentral:rRNA from 1 species